UACGUAGGGGGCAAGCGUUGUCCGGAAUUAUUGGGCGUAAAGAGCUCGUAGGCGGUGUGUCACGUCGGCCGUGAAAACCUGCAGCUUAACUGUGGGCGUGCGGUCGAUACGGGCAUCACUGGAGUUCGGCAGGGGAGACUGGAAUUCCUGGUGUAGCGGUGAAAUGCGCAGAUAUCAGGAGGAACACCGGUGGCGAAGGCGGGUCUCUGGGCCGAUACUGACGCUGAGGAGCGAAAGCGUGGGGAGCGAACAGG
rnacentral:rRNA from 1 species